UACGUAGGCAGCGAGCGUUUGUUCGGAAUUACUGGGCGUAAAGAGUGUGUAGGCGGUGCUCUAAGUUCGGUGUGAAUCUCCCGCUUAACUGGGAGGGUGCGCCGGAAACUGGAGUGCUCGAGCGUGGGAGAGGAAAGCGGAAUCCUGGUGUAGCGGUGAAAUGCGUAGAUAUCAGGAGGAACACCUGCGGUGUAGACGGCUUUCUGGACCAUUGCUGACGCUGAGACACGAAAGCGUGGGUAGCAAACAGG
rnacentral:rRNA from 1 species